AUGAGUCACGAGGCCAUUCGUUUUGUAUAACAGGCUUCUGAGUAGCGAUCAGUGUCACGCUAUUAUAGUGCGCUCAUCAAAAUCCAGGUUUAUACAGCUUCAGAAUAAAUUUUAACACUAUUUCGUUUUCAGAAGCUUAAGUAAAAGGAGAA